rnacentral:rRNA from 1 species
GAUGAACGCUGGCGGCGUGCCUAAUACAUGCAAGUCGAGCGAACGGACGAGAAGCUUGCUUCUCUGCUGUUAGCGGCGGACGGGUGAGUAACACGUGGAUAACCUACCUAUAUGACUGGGAUAACUUCGGGAAACCGGAGCUAAUACCGGAUAAUAUUUUGAACCGCAUGGUUCAAAAGUGAAAGACGGUCUUGCUGUCACUUAUAGAUGGAUCCGCGCUGCAUUAGCUAGUUGGUAAGGUAACGGCUUACCAAGGCAACGAUGCAUAGCCGACCUGAGAGGGUGAUCAGCCACACUGGAACUGAGACACGGUCCAGACUCCUACGGGAGGCAGCAGUAGGGAAUCUUCCGCAAUGGGCGAAAGCCUGACGGAGCAACGCCGCGUGAGUGAUGAAGGUCUUCGGAUCGUAAAACUCUGUUAUUAGGGAAGAACAUAUGUGUAAGUAACUGUGCACAUCUUGACGGUACCUAAUCAGAAAGCCACGGCUAACUACGUG